rnacentral:ncRNA from 1 species
UUAUUUAUAAGGCAAAGUAGGGGAAACCCUAUGACGCAAAGCUAUAGGGUCUUUAAAAUGGCAGCCAGCUGCAGUA